rnacentral:rRNA from 1 species
GAAAGGCCCUUCGGGGUACUCGAGUGGCGAACGGGUGAGUAACACGUGGGUGAUCUGCCCUGCACUUUGGGAUAAGCCUGGGAAACUGGGUCUAAUACCGAAUAGGACCGCAUGCUUCAUGGUGUGUGGUGGAAAGCUUUUGCGGUGUGGGAUGGGCCCGCGGCCUAUCAGCUUGUUGGUGAGGUAAUGGCUUACCAAGGCGACGACGGGUAGCCGGCCUGAGAGGGUGACCGGCCACACUGGGACUGAGAUACGGCCCAGACUCCUACGGGAGGCAGCAGUGGGGAAUAUUGCACAAUGGGCGCAAGCCUGAUGCAGCGACGCCGCGUGAGGGAUGACGGCCUUCGGGUUGUAAACCUCUUUCGCCAGGGACGAAGCGCAAGUGACGGUACCUGGAGAAGAAGGACCGGCCAACUACGUGCCAGCAGCCGCGGUAAUACGUAGGGUCCGAGCGUUGUCCGGAAUUACUGGGCGUAAAGAGCUCGUAGGUGGUUUGUCGCGUUGUUCGUGAAAACUCACAGCUUAACUGUGGGCGUGCGGGCGAUACGGGCAGACUUGAGUACUGCAGGGGAGACUGGAAUUCCUGGUGUAGCGGUGGAAUGCGCAGAUAUCAGGAGGAACACCGGUGGCGAAGGCGGGUCUCUGGGCAGUAACUGACGCUGAGGAGCGAAAGCGUGGGGAGCGAACAGGAUUAGAUACCCUGGUAGUCCACGCCGUAAACGGUGGGUACUAGGUGUGGGUUUCCUUCCUUGGGAUCCGUGCCGUAGCUAACGCAUUAAGUACCCCGCCUGGGGAGUACGGCCGCAAGGCUAAAACUCAAAGAAAUUGACGGGGGCCCGCACAAGCGGCGGAGCAUGUGGAUUAAUUCGAUGCAACGCGAAGAACCUUACCUGGGUUUGACAUGCACAGGACGCCGGCAGAGAUGUCGGUUCCCUUGUGGCCUGUGUGCAGGUGGUGCAUGGCUGUCGUCAGCUCGUGUCGUGAGAUGUUGGGUUAAGUCCCGCAACGAGCGCAACCCUUGUCUCAUGUUGCCAGCACGUUAUGGUGGGGACUCGUGAGAGACUGCCGGGGUCAACUCGGAGGAAGGUGGGGAUGACGUCAAGUCAUCAUGCCCCUUAUGUCCAGGGCUUCACACAUGCUACAAUGGCCGGUACAAAGGGCUGCGAUGCCGUGAGGUGGAGCGAAUCCUUUCAAAGCCGGUCUCAGUUCGGAUCGGGGUCUGCAACUCGACCCCGUGAAGUCGGAGUCGCUAGUAAUCGCAGAUCAGCAACGCUGCGGUGAAUACGUUCCCGGGCCUUGUACACACCGCCCGUCACGUCAUGAAAGUCGGUAACACCCGAAGCCGGUGGCCUAACCC